rnacentral:miRNA from 1 species
AAACGCCAUUAUCACACUAA